rnacentral:rRNA from 1 species
CACGUAGGGGGCAAGCGUUGUCCGGAUUCAUUGGGCGUAAAGAGCUCGUAGGCGGUUCGAUAAGUCGGGUGUGAAACCUCCAGGCUCAACCUGGAGACGCCACCCGAUACUGUCGUGACUAGAGUCCAGUAGGGGAGCGUGGAAUUCCUGGUGUAGCGGUGAAAUGCGCAGAUAUCAGGAGGAACACCAGCGGCGAAGGCGGCCAUCUGGACGGUAACUGACGCUGAGACGCGAAAGCGUGGGUAGCAAACAGG